rnacentral:rRNA from 1 species
CAGUCGCCACGGUAAUACGAAGGGGGCUAGCGUUGCUCGGAAUGACUGGGCGUAAAGGGCGCGUAGGCGGCUGUUACAGUCAGACGUGAAAUUCCUGGGCUCAACCUGGGGGCUGCGUUUGAUACGUGAUGGCUUGAGUUCGGAAGAGGGUCGUGGAAUUCCCAGUGUAGAGGUGAAAUUCGUAGAUAUUGGGAAGAACACCGGUGGCGAAGGCGGCGACCUGGUCCGAUACUGACGCUGAGGCGCGAAAGCGUGGGGAGCAAACAGGAUUAGAUACCCCGGUAGUCCCUGUCUCUUAUAC